rnacentral:tRNA from 1 species
GAGGGCUUAGCUUAAUUAAAGCGGUUGUUUUGCGUUCAAUUGAUGUGAGAUAAGUUCUUGCAGUCCUUA